AGGUUGAGAACCACUGCGCUGAAGGCACUCAAUGCCAUCUGAUUUUGGAAGCUAAGCAGAGACAGCUCUGGUUGGUAUCUGGAUGGGAGGCUGCCAACAAACACCAGGAGUUGGAGCCUC
rnacentral:rRNA from 1 species